rnacentral:rRNA from 1 species
UACGAAGGGGGCUAGCGUUGUUCGGAAUUACUGGGCGUAAAGCGCACGUAGGCGGAUUUGUAAGUCAGGGGUGAAAUCCCGGGGCUCAACCUCGGAACUGCCUUUGAUACUGCAAGUCUCGAGUCCGAUAGAGGUGAGUGGAAUUCCUAGUGUAGAGGUGAAAUUCGUAGAUAUUAGGAAGAACACCAGUGGCGAAGGCGGCUCACUGGAUCGGUACUGACGCUGAGGCGCGAAAGCUAGGGGAGCGAACAGG